ACGAACGCUGGCGGCGUGCUUAACACAUGCAAGUCGUACGGUAAGGCCCUUUCGGGGGUACACGAGUGGCGAACGGGUGAGUAACACGUGAGUAACCUGCCCACAACUUUGGGAUAACGCUAGGAAACUGGUGCUAAUACUGGAUAUGUGCUCCUGCUGCAUGGUGGGGGUUGGAAAGCUCCGGCGGUUGUGGAUGGACUCGCGGCCUAUCAGCUUGUUGGUGGGGUAGUGGCCUACCAAGGCGGCGACGGGUAGCCGGCCUGAGAGGGUGACCGGCCACAUUGGGACUGAGAUACGGCCCAGACUCCGACGGGAGGCAGCAGUGGGGAAGAUUGCACAAUGGGCGCAAGCCUGAUGCAGCAACGCCGCGUGCGGGAUGACGGCCUUCGGGUUGUAAACCGCUUUCAGCAGGGACGAAGCUUUUUGUGACGGUACCUGCAGAAGAAGCACCGGCUAACUACGUG
rnacentral:rRNA from 1 species